GACGUAGGGCGCGAGCGUUGUCCGGAUUUAUUGGGCGUAAAGAGCUCGUAGGCGGUCUGUCGCGUCGUCUGUGAAAACCCGAGGCUCAACCUCGGGCCUGCAGUCGAUACGGGCAGACUAGAGUGCGGUAGGGGAGACUGGAAUUCCUGGUGUAGCGGUGAAAUGCGCAGAUAUCAGGAGGAACACCGGUGGCGAAGGCGGGUCUCUGGGACGGUACUGACGCUGAGACGCGAAAGCGUGGGGAGCGAACAGG
rnacentral:rRNA from 1 species